rnacentral:rRNA from 1 species
AACGAACGCUGGCGGCAGGCCUAACACAUGCAAGUCGAGCGAGAUCUUCGGGUCUAGCGGCGGACGGGUGAGUAACGCGUGGGAAUAUGCCCUUCUCUGCGGAAUAGCCUCGGGAAACUGAGCGUAAUACCGCAUACGCCCUUUGGGGGAAAGAUUUAUCGGAGAAGGAUUAGCCCGCGUUGGAUUAGGUAGUUGGUGGGGUAACGGCCUACCAAGCCGACGAUCCAUAGCUGGUUUGAGAGGAUGAUCAGCCACACUGGGACUGAGACACGGCCCAGACUCCUACGGGAGGCAGCAGUGGGGAAUCUUAGACAAUGGGGGCAACCCUGAUCUAGCCAUGCCGCGUGAGUGAUGAAGGCCUUAGGGUUGUAAAGCUCUUUCAGCUGGGAAGAUAAUGACGGUACCAGCAGAAGAGGCCCCGGCUAACUCCGUG